rnacentral:tRNA from 1 species
CAGGAUAUAGUUUAAAUAAAAUAUUAAUUUUGGGGAUUAAUGAUAAGUGAAAAUUUUAUCCUGA